GUUAACGUUGUACUUAAACUUGUUUGGUAAUCAGAAACUAAACCCUGAAGUGGUUCCAGAUCCCUCUUUUGGCCUCGGCUCUCUUUCUGCCUCUUGAGGUGCAGUGUUUAAGCCGAAAGUUUACUUCCAUAGAUGACGUAAUAUGAAGGGGCUGUGCUGAGGUCUGAGAUGACAUUUGCCACUUCAUUCAUCGUAACUUAGCAUCGCACUGUACCAAAAUAGAAAUACAAUGUAAUGUCAGGUGUAUUUUAGAUUUGUUCGGCGGAUCGGUAUCUCGAAUGUACU
rnacentral:lncRNA from 1 species